rnacentral:rRNA from 1 species
AUUGAACGCUGGCGGCAGGCUUAACACAUGCAAGUCGAGCGGGGGAAGGUAGCUUGCUACCGGACCUAGCGGCGGACGGGUGAGUAAUGCUUAGGAAUCUGCCUAUUAGUGGGGGACAACAUCUCGAAAGGGAUGCUAAUACCGCAUACGUCCUACGGGAGAAAGCAGGGGAUCUUCGGACCUUGCGCUAAUAGAUGAGCCUAAGUCGGAUUAGCUAGUUGGUGGGGUAAAGGCCUACCAAGGCGACGAUCUGUAGCGGGUCUGAGAGGAUGAUCCGCCACACUGGGACUGAGACACGGCCCAGACUCCUACGGGAGGCAGCAGUGGGGAAUAUUGGACAAUGGGGGGAACCCUGAUCCAGCCAUGCCGCGUGUGUGAAGAAGGCCUUAUGGUUGUAAAGCACUUUAAGCGAGGAGGAGGCUACUUUAGUUAAUACCGUGCAAUUUUGACGUUACCGACAGAAUAAGCACCGGCUAACUCUGUGCCAGCCGCCACAGUAA